CGGGUGCUGCCCUUCUCGUGAUACGGUUGCAUUCCGGUGGCCUUAAGCAAUUCCGAGGGAGCUGGCUCUGUCCUGGUCCUGGCCUAGUUACCUGGCGCCCACCUGUAUAAACAGGUCCUCGGGAAUGAGAUAACCACACGGCUGCGUUUGCGGGCCCGCC
rnacentral:sRNA from 1 species